AUUCACUUCAUACCUAAGGAAAAGGGAAAU
rnacentral:piRNA from 1 species